UGGGGAAUUUUGGACAAUGGACGCAAGUCUGAUCCAGCCAUGCCGCGUGCGGGAAGAAGGCCUUCGGGUUGUAAACCGCUUUUGUCAGGGAAGAAACGCUCUGGGCUAAUACCCUGGGGUAAUGACGGUACCUGAAGAAUAAGCACCGGCUAACUACGUGCCAGCAGCCGCGGUAAUACGUAGGGUGCAAGCGUUAAUCGGAAUUACUGGGCGUAAAGCGUGCGCAGGCGGUUGUGUAAGUCAGAUGUGAAAUCCCCGGGCUCAACCUGGGAAUUGCAUUUGAGACUGCACGGCUAGAGUGUGUCAGAGGGGGGUAGAAUUCCACGUGUAGCAGUGAAAUGCGUAGAUAUGUGGAGGAACACCGAUGGCGAAGGCAAUCCCCUGGACCUGUACUGACGCUCAUGCACGAAAGCGUGGGGAGCAAACA
rnacentral:rRNA from 1 species